GGUGAGAUGGCUCAGCGGGUAAGAGCACCCGACUGCUCUUCUGAAGGUCCUGAGUUCGAGUCCCAGCAACCA
rnacentral:tRNA from 1 species